rnacentral:rRNA from 2 species
UGGGGGAUAUUGCACAAUGGGCGAAAGCCUGAUGCAGCGACGCCGCGUGGGGGAUGAAGGCUUUCGGGUUGUAAACCUCUUUCGCUAUCGAACAAGGCCCGCUUAGGGUGGGUUGAGGGUAGGAGGAGAAGAAGCGCCGGCUAACUACGUGCCAGCAGCCGCGGUAAUACGUAGGGCGCGAGCGUUGUCCGGAAUUAUUGGGCGUAAAGGGCUUGUAGGCGGCUUGUUGCGCCUGCUGUGAAAACGCGGGGCUUAACUUCGCGCGUGCAGUGGGUACGGGCAGGCUUGAGUGUGGUAGGGGUGACUGGAAUUCCAGGUGUAGCGGUGGAAUGCGCAGAUAUCUGGAGGAACACCGAUGGCGAAGGCAGGUCACUGGGCCAUUACUGACGCUGAGGAGCGAAAGCAUGGGUAGCGAACAGG